rnacentral:tRNA from 1 species
GCGGGUAUGGUAUAAGGGUUGUACCUUAGCCUUCCAAGCUAAAGAAGACCAGUUCGAAUCUGGCUACCCGCUCCA